rnacentral:rRNA from 1 species
UGGGGAAUAUUGCACAAUGGAGGGAACUCUGAUGCAGCGACGCCGCGUGAGUGAUGAAGGAAUUCGUUUCGUAAAACUCUGUUCUAUGGGAAGAAAAGGACUGUACCAUAGGAGAAAGCUCCGGCUAAAUACGUGCCAGCAGCCGCGGUAAUACGUAUGGAGCGAGCGUUGUCCGGAAUUAUUGGGCGUAAAGGGUGCGCAGGCGGCUUUACAAGUUGGAUGUGAAAUAUUGUGGCUCAACCACAAACGUGCAUCCAAAACUGCAAAGCUUGAGUUAAGGAGAGGUAAGUGGAAUUCCUGGUGUAGCGGUGGAAUGCGUAGAUAUCAGGAGGAAUACCGGUGGCGAAGGCGAUUUACUGGACUUAAACUGACGCUCAGGCACGAAAGCGUGGGGAGCAAACAGG